UGACCGUGACAUCCCUAACGUUAGUUGGAUUACAUUUCUGUAUAAGUACGGUUUUAAGUGUAAGUUACUCUGUUUAAUUUGCUUAGAGUUUGUUCGUAGAGUCACUUAUACUAAAAUGUAGUUUAAAUGUAAAAUGCUUAAAGAUAAAUUGUAUAGUAACUAUUAACUAUUGUCACAUGUGGUAUUGUUUGUUUUAGGACACACUUUGCCAUGCAGGCCACUGGAUACUGACUACUGAAGGUUAGGUUGUGUGUGACGGUGCUCAGCACAGCUUCAUGUCUGGCCUUCCCACUCUGUUCAUAACAUGUUACAUAUUCAAUCUUGAGUACCAGGAUGGGGCAAGCGUGUAUCUUGGAGUCCAAUGAAAGAUAUUAAUCCAGAGAGUGGAACAAGAAGAAGCAUCAUCUAAAAUGCCAGGAAACAGAAGAAACAGGUUGCAGUGAACCCACAUGUUGCCGCUCUACACAAUGAUGAAUUUUCAUUGUAAUCGAUGAAAAAUGAAUGGAAAAGUAUUUGAACACAGUUGAUCAUCUAUAAGACCAUCAGGACGUAUAACACCACAAGGUUGGUUCAAGUUCAUCAAG